rnacentral:rRNA from 1 species
AUUGAACGCUGGCGGCAGGCCUAACACAUGCAAGUCGAGCGGUAGAAGGGCGUUUGCUCCUGGAUUCAGCGGCGGACGGGUGUAUAACGCCUAGGAAUGUCCAGGCGAGGGGGGGAACACGUCGGGAACUGGGCGCUAAUCCCGCAUGCGCCCUGGGGGAGAACGGGGGGGAGCUUCGGCUCUUGCGCUUUCAGCUGCGCCUAGGUCGGAUUAGCUAGUUGGUGGGGUAAGGGCCUACCAAGGCGACGAUCCGUAACUGGUCUGAGAGGAUGAUCAGUCACACUGGAACUGAGACACGGUCCAGACUCCUACGGGAGGCAGCAGUGGGGAAUAUUGGACAAUGGGCGAAAGCCUGAUCCAGCCAUGCCGCGUGUGUGAAGAAGGUCUUCGGAUUGUAAAGCACUUUAAUUUGGGAGGAAGGGGAGUAAGUUAAUACCUGGCUGUUUUGACGGUACCAACAGAAUAAGCACCGGCUAACUACGUG